UGUCCCAGCAGCCGCGGUAAUACGUAGGGUGCAAGCGUUAAUCGGAAUUACUGGGCGUAAAGCGUGCGCAGGCGGUUAUGUAAGACAGAGGUGAAAUCCCCGGGCUCAACCUGGGAACGGCCUUUGUGACUGCAUAGCUAGAGUACGGUAGAGGGGGAUGGAAUUCCGCGUGUAGCAGUGAAAUGCGUAGAUAUGCGGAGGAACACCGAUGGCGAAGGCAAUCCCCUGGACCUGUACUGACGCUCAUGCACGAAAGCGUGGGGAGCAAACAUGAUUAGAUACCCUGGUAGUCCACGCCCUAAACGAUGUCAACUGGGUUG
rnacentral:rRNA from 1 species